GCGAUGGCGGAGGGGUUCCACGCGUACCCAUCCCGAACACGACCGUUAAGCCCUCCAGCGCCGAUGGUACUUGGACCGAAGGGUCCUGGGAGAGUAGGAUGCUGCCAAGC
rnacentral:rRNA from 1 species